rnacentral:rRNA from 1 species
UCGCCUUGUUUUUACAAAAACAUAGUUUAAGGAAAUAAUCUUAAAUGAAUUCUGCCCAGUGAUUUUUUUUUAAAUGGCCGCAGUACCUUGACUGUGCUAAGGUAGCAUAAUCAAUUGGCUUCUAAUUAAAGUCUGGAAUGAAAGGAAAUAUGAAGUAAUUCUAUCUUAAAGGAUUUUUUUUGAAUUUAUUUAAAUGAUGAAAAUAUCAUUUUAUAGAAAAAAGACGAGAAGACCCUUAGAGUUUUGAUAUUUAUAUAUUUUUGUUGGGGCGACAGGUAAACAUAUAACUUUACGAAUUAUCAUUGAUCGAUUUUUUAUAAGAAUAAUAAAACUACCUUAGGGAUAACAGCAUUAUAUUUUUUUUUAUGAUUGUGACCUCGAUGUUGGACUAGGAACUUUAUGGCUAGCCGUCAAAAAAGAUUGUCGCCGUACUA